UACGGGGGGGGCAAGCGUUGUUCGGAAUUACUGGGCGUAAAGGGCUCGUAGGUGGCUAACUAAGUCAUACGUGAAAUCCCUCGGCUUAACCGGGGAACUGCGUCUGAUACUGGAUGGCUUGAGGUUGGGAGAGGGAUGCGGAAUUCCAGGUGUAGCGGUGAAAUGCGUAGAUAUCUGGAGGAACACCGGUGGCGAAGGCGGCAUCCUGGACCAAUUCUGACACUGAGGAGCGAAAGCCAGGGGAGCAAACGGG
rnacentral:rRNA from 1 species